UGGGGAAUAUUGGACAAUGGGCGCAAGCCUGAUCCAGCAAUGCCGCGUGUGUGAAGAAGGCCUUCGGGUUGUAAAGCACUUUUAUCAGGAGCGAAACGCUGUCGGCUAAUACCCGGCGGAACUGACGGUACCUGAGGAAUAAGCACCGGCUAACUUCGUGCCAGCAGCCGCGGUAAUACGAAGGGUGCAAGCGUUAAUCGGAAUUACUGGGCGUAAAGCGUGCGUAGGCGGUUUCUUAAGUCUGCUGUGAAAUCCCCGGGCUCAACCUGGGAAUGGCAGUGGAUACUGGGAGGCUAGAGUGUGUCAGAGGGUGGUGGAAUUCCCGGUGUAGCGGUGAAAUGCGUAGAGAUCGGGAGGAACAUCAGUGGCGAAGGCGGCCACCUGGGACAACACUGACGCUGAGGCACGAAAGCGUGGGGAGCAAACAGGAUUAGAUACCCUGGUAGUCCACGCCCUAAAGCGAUGCGAACUGGAUGUUGGUCUCAACUCGGAGAUCAGUGCCGAAGCUAACGCGUUAAGUUCGCCGCCUGGGGAGUACGGUCGCAAGACUGAAACUCAAAGGAAUUGACGGGGUCAUAGCUGUUUCCUG
rnacentral:rRNA from 1 species